ACGAACGCUGGCGGCGUGCUUAACACAUGCAAGUCGAACGAUGAACCGCUUUCGGGCGGGGAUUAGUGGCGAACGGGUGAGUAACACGUGGGCAAUCUGCCCUGCACUCUGGGACAAGCCCUGGAAACGGGGUCUAAUACCGGAUAUGACUGUCCAUCGCAUGGUGGAUGGUGUAAAGCUCCGGCGGUGCAGGAUGAGCCCGCGGCCUAUCAGCUUGUUGGUGAGGUAGUGGCUCACCAAGGCGACGACGGGUAGCCGGCCUGAGAGGGCGACCGGCCACACUGGGACUGAGACACGGCCCAGACUCCUACGGGAGGCAGCAGUGGGGAAUAUUGCACAAUGGGCGAAAGCCUGAUGCAGCGACGCCGCGUGAGGGAUGACGGCCUUCGGGUUGUAAACCUCUUUCAGCAGGGAAGAAGCGAAAGUGACGGUACCUGCAGAAGAAGCGCCGGCUAACUACGUGCCAGCAGCCGCGGUAAUACGUAGGGCGCAAGCGUUGUCCGGAAUUAUUGGGCGUAAAGAGCUCGUAGGCGGCUUGUCACGUCGGUUGUGAAAGCCCGGGGCUUAACCCCGGGUCUGCAGUCGAUACGGGCAGGCUAGAGUUCGGUAGGGGAGAUCGGAAUUCCUGGUGUAGCGGUGAAAUGCGCAGAUAUCAGGAGGAACACCGGUGGCGAAGGCGGAUCUCUGGGCCGAUACUGACGCUGAGGAGCGAAAGCGUGGGGAGCGAACAGGAUUAGAUACCCUGGUAGUCCACGCCGUAAACGGUGGGCACUAGGUGUGGGCAACAUUCCACGUUGUCCGUGCCGCAGCUAACGCAUUAAGUGCCCCGCCUGGGGAGUACGGCCGCAAGGCUAAAACUCAAAGGAAUUGACGGCGGCCCGCACAAGCGGCGGAGCAUGUGGCUUAAUUCGACGCAACGCGAAGAACCUUACCAAGGCUUGACAUACACCGGAAACGUCUGGAGACAGGCGCCCCCUUGUGGUCGGUGUACAGGUGGUGCAUGGCUGUCGUCAGCUCGUGUCGUGAGAUGUUGGGUUAAGUCCCGCAACGAGCGCAACCCUUGUCCCGUGUUGCCAGCAGGCCCUUGUGGUGCUGGGGACUCACGGGAGACCGCCGGGGUCAACUCGGAGGAAGGUGGGGACGACGUCAAGUCAUCAUGCCCCUUAUGUCUUGGGCUGCACACGUGCUACAAUGGCCGGUACGAUGAGCUGCGAUACCGNGAGGUGGAGCGAAUCUCAAAAAGCCGGUCUCAGUUCGGAUUGGGGUCUGCAACUCGACCCCAUGAAGUCGGAGUCGCUAGUAAUCGCAGAUCAGCAUUGCUGCGGUGAAUACGUUCCCGGGCCUUGUACACACCGCCCGUCACGUCACGAAAGUCGGUAACACCCGAAGCCGGUGGCCCAACCCCUUGUGGGAGGGAGC
rnacentral:rRNA from 1 species